GGGCGGGUUCCAGCCCGCUCAGCUGGCCAUGAACUGGACGAUGAAUUUUAACCUCCACACCACAAGCACUGGGGUAGAAGACUGCUGCUGGGUGAAGAAGAGACUAGACUUGAUCAUUGAGCAGCCACUCACUGAUAUCUUCAGUGCUGCAUGAGGAAGGACUGGCCCCUGGGAUUUGCUGCUCAGGACCUGAGUUCACUGAGACAUCAGGAGCAAGCACUGGAGGCUGGGUGCUGCUGGACCCAGAUGGGAGCCAUGCAGGACUUGACCAUGGCCUGCACACACUUCUUCCCAGGAGAAGGGGAAUGAGGAAGAACUAGAUCCUAAGAGCAGAAGACAAUCAUAUGUCCUGAGAACCCAUUGGAGGUUGAACAGCGCUGGGUGGAUGGAGAAAGGCAGAAAUGCAGAAUUUCGUCAUUGCCUGGAUGCUGACUUUAUCCAAAGAGAAGAUGCAUGAGGAGUGUACAUGCCUCAGAACUGGAUGCUGAGACAUGCCCCCGCGAUCCCAAGACCACCAGGUACCGUGAGCAAUCACUGGAGCUGGAACACUGCUGCCUGAGGAAGAGAAGAAGUGCAGGCUUGUCAUUGUCUAUGCUGUUACUUGUGGUUCCCGGGUCUUCAGAGAGGAUGCACAAGAACGGGAGAACCGGCCCCUGGGAUUUGCUGCUCAGGACCCGAGUUCACUGAGACAUCAGGAGCAAGCACUGGAGGCCGGUGCUGCUGGAUCCAGAUGGGAGCCAUGCAGGACUUGACCAUGGCCUGCACACACUUCUUCCCAGGAGAAGGGGAAUGAGGAAGGCAGACUGGCAUCACAGGACCCUUCAGAGUAUUAAUGCAGACCUUCGUGACAGAGGUCCAGUACCAAGUGCUCAGCGGUGCUAAGGUCCAGGGACAGGAGGCAGAAGGGCGGGUUCCAGCCCGCUCAGCUGGCCAUGGUAAAAUACUAGCUGGUGUCCUAGGGCAGCAAGGCGCCUCCCUCUCCAGGUUAUGAAAACAUUGCAGUCUGAGUUUCUGUUGGGACCUGAGAAGAAGUCAAGGAAGCCCUGCAAGGCACUCACAGCUGCUCCUGCUGUCUGUAAUCGGCCGCCAUCUUCCUUCAUUCUCUGGUGACUGAGGUCCAGGAACAGGAAGCAGAGGGGCAGGUUCCACCCCGCUCAGCUGGCCAUGGUAAUCUAUCUACUAGCUGGUGUCCUACUCUCCAGCUUCUGAAGAGAAAACACUGCAGUUGCAGUUUCUGUUGGGGCCUGAGAAGAAGUCAAGGAAGCCCUGCAAGGCACUCACAGCUGCUCCUGCUGUCUAAUUGGUCACUAUCUUCCGCCAUUGCUAGGAAUCAUGAGCAGGAGGAGAGUGGCGCUGUG
rnacentral:lncRNA from 1 species